AUAUGCGAUCAGCACUCCAAAAUGAUGGUUUACACUAAUUUGAAGGGUGAGGUAUGAAUUCAUUGAAAGGAUGAGGCCAGGAGUACUUUCAAUAUUUUACUCUGAACCAAAAUGUUGACACAUUGCAAGAAUUUAAUAGUUUCACAGUGAUAGCAAAGCGGGCCAGCUGGUAGUACAAGCAAAUCAAACUUUCUCUUCUCCUGAGGUCUGUUACUGCAUUCAGCAAAGCUUCUUUUCCACCCUCACUUGACACUGAUACAAGAACACACUGAGUCAAGUAGACUGGGGAAAUGAAAUGGACUCAUCAGAUGCUGUUUUCUUUAAACAAUUAAAAACCAGUUGCCAAAAUGAUUUUGGAUUUUCACUUUAUUCUGCUUCUUGAUUGGAAACCUAACUGGUAGUCAAAGUCUAAGGAAAUAUUUUUAAACAUGUUGGCUGUUGGCAUGUGCCUUGUUUUGUCUUUCAGAAGCCAAUGUGAGCACAUCAAUUCAAGUGAAUUCGACAGCCAGAGGUUCUGCUGCUGCCUGGGCCAUACUACCCGUCUUGCUACUGGCGAUGGCGGCAGCAGGUGGCUACCUGAUGUGGAGGAACUGGCAGCUGAAGAACCAGAAAAGCAUGAACUUUGACAACCCAGUCUACCUGAAGACCACAGAAGAAGACCUCAACAUUGACAUCACGAGGCAUGGCGCCAAUGUAGGACACACGUACCCCGCGAUUUCGAUAGUGAGCACAGAGGAUGAUUUAUCCUGAUCGUGUUGGGUCUUUUUUAUUUUUUCACGGUUACACCGCGCCGCCUCGUUCCAGUGCCGACGCUUGACCGUAGCAGCAGCAGCAGACCUUAUAGUACGACCACAUGCCUUCUGAAGUACAUUAAACCACUGUGUGUGGUGAAGAGGAAAUGUUAUUUAUUAUGUAAAUAUUGCAAUGAAUUCUGUCCCGACUGGUUUCGCUCUACAUCCAAAGUUGUAAGGAUUUUUUUUUUUCCAUUAUUUUUGGGCCGCAGACAUUUUCCAGUCAUUUCUUUGCCCCGCCCUCUUUAAGAAGCUUGCUGGCAUCGUGUCACAACAGUUGAGAGGGAUGAAUUGUCAGUUUGAUCUCCUCCUCAUCUGGGCUCCCAGAAUCUGACACGGCGAAUGUUUGAAGGCUGCACAAAACACGAGGGGUCAAGGGUCCUUUAGAAGUAAGGCUUUAAUAAGGAGAGGAUGCGGUCCAGAUUUUAUUUGUUGCUUCCUCAGAUGUGAAUAUUUAUGUACGAUCAUGUUUGGGCAGUAAUAUCUCAAAUCUAAGUUUUCUUUCAUUAAUUUAAGUGUUUUCUUGCCAUCACCACCUCUUAGAAUGCAUUCUUACAGGCUUAUUAUUAUUAUUAUUAUUAUUAUUAUUAUUAUUAUUAUUAUUAUGAUGCUUGUGAAAUAACCAUAGUUACAGCUUUUGUAAACACUGUACAUAUUUGCCCAUCAUCCUUUGGACAUGAUCGUCAAUCAGGACUCUUCAAUGCACUUUGAUCAAAUGCUCCUUGUGUAAAUAAGAUUGUAUACAUUUGACUUGAUCAGUUCUUUUGCUAUGGUUGGGCGUCAUACCAGCGGCUCAAAUGUAUUUAAGAAGGAAAAAACAAAACACAAUGAAUUUGGUAAAACUAUUUUGUAUGUUUGUGCUGUUGCUGUGAACUUUUUCUAGCCUUGUACAAAGAAGGGGGGACACCAAUAAAAUGGGAAGACUCUGUAUCUGUGAAGAAACUGAUCUGCGAAUCACUUCGGAAUUAAAAUUUAAUCCACAACUUUGCUCAGAAAA